CCUAGAGCGGCCGCGGAGGAGCGCCCUGGGCCGGGCCGCCGGGCGCGAGGCCUUCCCGGGAGGCACCUCAGCGGUCUCCGCGCUCUCCCCGGCGACGCUCCGGCGCCCCCGCAGGGCCUCCGGGAACUUCGAGGUCCCCUGCGAAGGGCCAGCUCGGAGCCUCCAGCCUGAAGAAGGUGGAAGUCGGGGAAAUGUGGGCGCUCCGGGGUUGACCCCACGGCGCUCGUUCUCGCUCAGGAGGAGCCGGUGACAAAAUUCGGGAGGUGACGAGCAGAGAGGAAGGCGAAGCGGCGCCGGCUCUUUGCCCCCGGACCCCAGCGCACCCCAUUGGGCUUCCGGGGGGAACGAGGAGGCUCUGCAGAGACUCUGGCCCGAGAGCAGGUGGCGGUGGCCUGGACGCGCUCCAGCCCGUCGGGUGCUUGGGGCCGCAGCCCGGCCUUGCAGACGCGGUGGAGUCGCUGCCGGGUGUGCUCGGGAGGGAUGCAGGUUCCGGAGCGGCAGGGGCUGGGGAGAUCGGCUGCCCUGGAGCCCGUCUCCUGGAAAGCACGCUUGGAAUGCCUCUUGAGGAUUCUGAGAGUCGGUCUGACUUGCCCAGGAAGAGAGAUCAGGAGACCAGAUGAUGCAGCAGCAAAAGUCUUAGGUAAGAUCUGCAAUUUCUGAUAUCUGCCUGCUUUGUGGCAACUGGCCCCAGCUCCUUCACUCCUGCUAGAAACUGCUCAGCCCAUACCUGUGCAGGUGCCUCUCCUCAGAACAGCAAGCCUCUUCUAUAGAUGAAUGAGAUGUUUCUUGCUCAGUAGUUCCCUCUAGCUGUGUUUUUCUAUUGAUUAACUGCCACUUUUUACUAUCAUCCUUCCUCCCACCCCCGCCAUCUCAAUUUAUACCAACGUAAAUCUCUUUAUUAUGGCUCUUCCCAUAGCUUUCCCCUUUCGUACAUCAUAGGCUUACCCUCAGGAAAGCAGGGUCAGGGUAUGGUCUCAGAAUCAAGAGUGUUUGAAGAUGUGCUUGUAAACCACGCUCACGUGGAGUCAGGGUCCUUGGGCCUUGUUCAGGAUUCGCUCUUCAGGAAUGAGGUUUAAACACGAAUUACUCUUUUAUGAAAAACCUCUGGAUCUUCUCUUCUUUGCAGGGAUAGUAGAUAAAAGAGAGCAUAUGUUCAGAAUUCGUUCUUGAACUGCUCUUUCAAUGCCUCUGUGUGUGUAUAUGUGGAACAGGUAAAUUUAAACAUGAAUCUUGUUUUCCAGGUGGACAAGUUGGAAGAAAGAAAUUUCCAGGCAGUAGGAGUAUGAACAAAUGUAGGGCUUACAAACUGCAUGGUGAGUUUGAUUAAAAUACAUAGCAACAGCAGGCAAUCAGGGUGGAAUUUUUUGCAAUCUCUCAUUCUGCUUGAUCUUUCUGUUGCUGACCUUCCCUCAGUUAUAUCCAUAGACCCGGAGACAGUAUCUUUUCUGUGCUUUUAUCUGUAUCACCCCUGGUAAAGAGGGGCAGGGAUGAAUUCUGAACAUCUUGGUGUUGGAGUGACGGUGGAACUUUAUCUUAGAAAAAUCAGAAGUUGCAAGGAAAAAGAAAAAUCUAGGAGAAAAAAAAUGGUCUCAAGGAGGGAGAACGAGAAUGAAAGAAAGUGAGAAUAACAUUAUUUUGUUUCACCAAUCAUGAUACUAAAGUAGAACUUUUAAGUAUUGGGAUAAAGCUACCAGAAAGUCUCCCUCUUUUGGUCAACAGGGACCUUUGUGUUCCUUUCCUUACUUAAGCACUAUAUGCAAAUUUUGGAAGUGGCUUAGAAACCUACUCCAGUGGAAGUCACCUGUAAGCUUCCUUGCCUCAUACUCCAUCCACCUCCGCCCUAUUUCUGCUAGCUGGUAUGCGAUCAUUGGGUUCUACAAGGUUAAGGAAGGAGAGUUAACCUCCCAGGAAUUGGAUAAAAUGUUUGUUUUCCAUUUCCUUUUACCUUUUGAGGAUUCCUCCUAUCGAGAUAACCAAAUUCAUAGGAUUCUGAUAAAUAAAUCUGAAUAUGAUUGUUUUAAUUUUUAAUCAUUUUUACUUUUGUCAUCAGAUAACUCUUAUCCCUAACAAAGAACUGAGCAGUGCACUGCCAGGGCAGGAGAUUCUUUCUAAAGUUUCACUUUAAGUAUUUCAUAAUUUCCUUCAUUUUAUUUUCUCGGUUGUGCUGGAUAUAUCUGUAGUGUAACAACCCCCCAGGGAUUGGCUGAUUGAUUGUUGUUGUUGUUUCCUUUUUCGCUUAUUCCUGAGUUUCGUGACUAUUAUACAAGUAUUGUAGAGGAUUAUUGACAAAAAACAUAAAAAUUAUGGGUAAAUAUAUAUAAAAUCUAAUAUUCCAAAGAUCAGAUUCUAUUAAACACAUUCUGUUGUACGUUUUUCUAGACAUUUACAUACUUGUGCACUUGUGGGUACAGUAUUUAAAAAUGGAUCAUUAUCUGGUGAAAACUUUUUUAUAUAUUUUUUUAAACAAUGCUAUUUCCUGAAUAUCUUUAUUGAAAGGUAAUAGCUAAUUAUCACAAUCUGAAGAGCAAGGGUCAAUAUUUAUUGAAUAAUAUUUAAUUUCUCUUGAUCAUUAGCAGCUUUCAAUCCCCUACUUGAGGUACCUUUGAUUAUCACAUUGCUUCAGGCAAUAGUAGAAAAAAUAAAAAUAAAGAUGUCAUUUUAUCCCUGUCCCUUCAGUCACAGUAAGUGUACACUUUGUUCUCAUUCCUUCCUUCAGAGGUGCAGUGGAAAAGAAGUUUUCAGAUUCAAAUCCUGCUUGGUUGGAUACACUUAUUUGAAAAUAAGCCCCAAUUUUGAGCAGUUUGAAAAUUUGAAUGUACUACUGUAAGCUAGGAACCGAUAAAAUAGAAUUCUUCGAAAUAUAUUAAGUGAAAAGAGCAAGCUGCAGAAAAAUGGUAAAUAUUUUACUCCUCUUUGUAAAAUAAAGUGUCCAAAAGAAAAUCAGGAAAGUGCAUAAGAGAAUAAGAGAUAUUGGUGGGAACUGGGGAGAUGGGAGAAAGGCAGAGCCAAAGAUUUUCUCACUAUGCCUUUUAAUGCUUUCUCAUUUUUGAACCAUGUGAAUAUAUUACUCAUGCAGAAAGUAUUUAAAUUAAACAAUAAAAAAAUCUUGUCUCUGU
ensembl:lincRNA